rnacentral:rRNA from 1 species
GAUGAACGCUGGCGGCGUGCCUAAUACAUGCAAGUCGAGCGCACGGACGAGAAGCUUGCUUCUCUGAUGUUAGCGGCGGACAGGAGAGUAAAACGUGGAUACCCUACCUAUAAGACUGGGAUAACUUCGGGAAACCGGAGCUAAUACAGGAUAAUAUUUUGAACUGCAUGGUUCAAAAGUGAAAGACGGUCUUGCUGUCACUUAUAGAUGGAUCCGCGCUGCAUUAGCUAGUUGGUAAGGUAACGGCUUACCAAGGCAACGAUGCAUAGCCGACCUGAGAGAGUGAUCGGCCCCGGUGGGACAGAGACACGGUCCAGACUCCGACGGGAGGCCGCAGUAGAGAACCAUCCGAAAUGGGCGAAAGCAUGACGGAGCAAUGCGGCGUGAGUGAUGAAGGUCUUUGGAUCGGAAAACUCUGUGUUUAGGGAAGAAAAUGUGUGUAAGUAACUGUGGACAACUUGACGGGACCUAAUCAGAAAGCCAAGGCUAACUACGUG